AUUAGAUUUAAAUUAGUUAAAGAUUACAGCGCCCCAACGGCAAAAUACGUAAUAUACUUCCUACGAUUCUCGAACGUAAUCGAUAUUUCUUAUGAUCGAUUUUUAAACGGGAAGCAUGGCAGCAGGAAGCACACCUCAUCUGUAAAGAAGGAAAUAUAU